rfam:Streptomyces sp. MnatMP-M17 genome assembly, contig: Ga0115259_10045
UGAAUCCGCGCGGGAGAGUCCCGGUCACCGUGUGCGCCGGGCGCCGAAGGAGCAAGUUCCUCCCUUGAAUCUCUCAGGCCCCGUACCGCGCGGACGAG